GUGAGUAACGCGUGGGAACGUGCCUUUCGGUUCGGGAUAACCCUGGGAAACUUGGGCUAAUACCGGAUACGCCCUUCGGGGGAAAGAUUCAUUGCCGAAAGAUCGGCCCGCGUCGGAUUAGCUAGUUGGUGGGGUAAUGGCCUACCAAGGCGACGAUCCGUAGCUGGUCUGAGAGGAUGACCAGCCACACUGGGACUGAGACACGGCCCAGACUCCUACGGGAGGCAGCAGUGGGGAAUAUUGGACAAUGGGCGCAAGCCUGAUCCAGCCAUGCCGCGUGGGUGAAGAAGGCCUUAGGGUUGUAAACCCCUUUCAGCGGGGAAGAUAAUGACGGUACCCGCAGAAGAAGUCCCGGCUAACUCCGUGCCAGCAGCCGCGGUAAUACGGAGGGGACUAGCGUUGUUCGGAAUUACUGGGCGUAAAGCGCACGUAGGCGGAUU
rnacentral:rRNA from 1 species